rnacentral:rRNA from 1 species
GAGCACUUGGUGCCAGGGGCCGGGGUAAGACAGUGGGUGCGAGGUUUAAUCUGAUUUACUGGGCGUAAAGGGGGGGUAGGGGGUGAAUUAAGUCAAAUGUGAAAGCCCCGGGCUUAACUGGGGAAUUGAAUUCGAGAGUGGUUAGCUAGAGUAUGGGAGAGGAUGGUAGAAUUCCAGGUGUAGCGGUGAAAUGCGUAGAGAUCUGGAGGAAUACCGAUGGCGAAGGCAGCCAUCUGGCCUAAUACUGACACUGAGGUGCGAAAGCAUGGGGAGCAAACAGGAUUAGAUCCCCGAGUAGUC